AAACCAACAGGGAUUGCCCCAGUAACGGCGAGUGAAGCGGCAAGAGCUCAAAUUUGAAAUCUGGCCCCUCCGGGGUCCGAGUUGUAAUUUGCAGAGGAUGCUUCGGGCGCGGUCCCCGUCUAAGUACCCUGGAACGGGUCGUCAUAGAGGGUGAGAAUCCCGUCUGGGACGGGUGGCCGUGUCCGUGUGAAGCUCCUUCGACGAGUCGAGUUGUUUGGGAAUGCAGCUCUAAAUGGGUGGUAAAUUUCAUCUAAAGCUAAAUAUUGGCCGGAGACCGAUAGCGCACAAGUAGAGUGAUCGAAAGAUGAAAAGCACUUUGAAAAGAGAGUUAAACAGCACGUGAAAUUGUUGAAAGGGAAGCGCUUGCGACCAGACUCGCCCGCGGGGGUUCAGCCGGUACUCGUACCGGUGUACUCCCCCGGGGGCGGGCCAGCGUCGGUUUGGGCGGUCGGUCAAAGGCCUCCGGAAUGUGUCGCCCCCCGGGGCGUCUUAUAGCCGGAGGUGCAAUGCGGCCAGCCUGGACCGAGGAACGCGCUUCGGCUCGGACGC
rnacentral:rRNA from 2 species